rnacentral:rRNA from 1 species
CUUGGUCAUUUAGAGGAAGUAAAAGUCGUAACAAGGUCUCCGUUGGUGAACCAGCGGAGGGAUCAUUACAGAGUUGCAAAACUCCCAAACCAUCGUGAACGUUACCUACAUCGUUGCUUCGGCGGGUGGCGGGCUUCGGCCCUGCCCUCGGCCCCUCUCGGGGGCCCGCCGGAGGUACACCAAACUCUUGAAUUUACAUGGCCUCUCUGAGUCUUCUGUACUGAAUAAGUCAAAACUUUCAACAACGGAUCUCUUGGUUCUGGCAUCGAUGAAGAACGCAGCGAAAUGCGAUAAGUAAUGUGAAUUGCAGAAUUCAGUGAAUCAUCGAAUCUUUGAACGCACAUUGCGCCCGCCAGUAUUCUGGCGGGCAUGCCUGUCCGAGCGUCAUUUCAACCAUCAAGCCCCCGGCUUGUGUUGGGGACCUGCGGCACACCCGCAGGCCCUGAAAACCAGUGGCGGGCUCGCUGUCCACACCGAGCGUAGUAGCAUAUCUUUGUCUCGCUCAGGGCGUGCGGCGGGUUCCGGCCGUGAAACCCACCUUCUCGAAGGUACCCAAAGGUUGACCUCGGAU